GCCUUGAACUGCAGGUAUGUGUGCUCCUGGUUUCUGACCAAGUGUUUCCUUGCUGAAGGGCCUCAUUUUCUCACCUGCCUCUUGCCGUCUUUAGCUGUUCCAUCGGGACUGUGAGCAAGCUGAGAACUGGAUGGCUGCCCGGGAGGCCUUCUUGAAUACCGAAGACAAAGGAGACUCACUGGACAGCGUAGAGGCUCUGAUCAAAAAACAUGAAGACUUUGACAAAGCGAUUAACGUCCAGGAAGAGAAGAUUGCUGCUCUGCAGGCCUUUGCCGACCAGCUCAUCGCUGCCGGCCAUUAUGCCAAGGGAGACAUUUCUAGCCGGCGCAAUGAGGUCUUGGACAGGUGGCGACGUCUGAAAGCCCAAAUGAUUGAGAAAAGGUCAAAGCUAGGAGAAUCUCAAACCCUCCAACAGUUCAGCCGGGAUGUGGAUGAGAU
rnacentral:sRNA from 1 species